GUUAGGAAUAUUGGACAAUGGGCGAAAGCCUGAUCCAGCCAUGCCGCGUGAACGAUGAAGGCCUUCGGGUUGUAAAGUUCUUUAGCCGAUGAUUAUAAUGACUGUAGUCGGAAAAUAAGCCCCGGCUAACUUCGUGCCAGCAGCCGCGGUAAUACGAAGGGGGCGAGCGUUAUUCGGAAUCACUGGGCGUAAAGCGUUCGUAGGCGGUUUUGUAAGUUAGGAGUGAAAGCCCAGGGCUCAACCUUGGAAUUGCUCUUAAAACUUCAAGGCUCGAAUCUCGGAGAGGAUAGCGGAAUUUCCAGUGUAGCAGUGAAAUGCGUAGAUAUUGGAAGGAACACCAGUGGCGUAAGCGGCUAUCUGGACGAGUAUUGACGCUGAGGCACGAAAGCGUGGGGAUCAAACAGGAUUAGAAACCCGUGUAGUCC
rnacentral:rRNA from 1 species